rnacentral:rRNA from 1 species
UACAGAGGUGGCAAGCGUUGUCCGGAUUUACUGGGCGUAAAGAGCGUGUAGGCGGCCACGCAGGUCCGUUGUGAAAACUGGAGGCUCAACCUUCAGACGUCGACGGAAACCGUGUGGCUAGAGUCCGGAAGAGGAGAGUGGAAUUCCUGGUGUAGCGGUGAAAUGCGCAGAUAUCAGGAAGAACACCAAUGGCGAAGGCAGCUCUCUGGGACGGUACUGACGCUGAGACGCGAAAGCGUGGGGAGCAAACAGG